AUUGCCAUGGAUGAUGAAAAUCAAGAAAUUUAGGGGACUGAUGAAACUGAUGAUGGGAUGGGUUGAUGGCAAGGAGCAUUCUCAAUUCAAUCUUUCAAAAGUGCAUCAGCAAGUGUGAAACUGUGAUGCUUUUACAAACGCAUUUCGAAACUGAACACUUAUUUGAAUGUUAACAUCUCGAGAAUGUUGCUGAGAAAUAGUAUUUGUGUUCUCAUGCAGGAUCCUGACUCAGAUUCGCACAUGUUAUCUUAACUGAUCCUGGCCGUUGAUUACGACAGGAGAUCCGUCCAAGGGUGGGUCUUACGACCUGACGGCGUACCUCUCGGUGGCAUGGCGCGGCACCUCCACCACCACCAUGGCCAAGAACUCGUCGCGCACCUCCGCGCGUCGUCGCCACUGGCCGACCUCCUCCGCUCCGCGCCGAACCUCUCCGGCGCGCGAGCCGCGCACGCACGUAUUCUGAAGUCCCCCGUAGCCGGCGAGACCUUCCUCCUCAACACGCUCGUGUCCACGUACGCGCGGCUCGGCCGACUCCGCGACGCACGCAGGGUGUUCGACGAGAUACCCCUGCGCAACACCUUCUCGUACAACGCGCUCCUCUCCGCGUACGCGCGCCUGGGCCGCCCCGACGAGGCGCGGGCUCUCUUCGAGGCCAUCCCGGACCCCGACCAGUGCUCCUACAACGCGGUCGUCGCGGCGCUCGCACGGCACGGGCGCGGGCAUGCCGCGGACGCGCUCCGGUUCCUGGCCGCCAUGCACGCGGACGACUUCGUGCUCAAUGCCUACUCCUUCGCCAGCGCCCUGAGCGCGUGCGCCGCUGAGAAGGACUCGAGGACCGGGGAGCAGGUGCACGGCCUCGUCGCCAGGUCGCCGCACGCGGACGACGUGCACAUCAGGAGCGCGCUCGUGGACAUGUACGCCAAGUGCGAGCGCCCGGAGGAUGCGCGCAGGGUGUUCGACGCAAUGCCGGAGCGGAACGUCGUUUCCUGGAACAGCCUGAUCACUUGCUACGAGCAGAACGGUCCCGUGGGUGAGGCACUCAUGCUGUUCGUCGAGAUGAUGGCUGCUGGUUUCUCUCCGGAUGAGGUGACACUCUCAAGUGUCAUGAGCGCAUGUGCAGGACUUGCUGCAGACAGGGAAGGACGGCAGGUCCAUGCCCAUAUGGUGAAGUGUGACAGACUUAGGGAUGACAUGGUGCUCAACAAUGCUCUGGUGGACAUGUAUGCCAAAUGUGGGAGGACGUGGGAAGCAAGGUGCAUCUUUGAUUCCAUGCCUUCCAGGAGUAUUGUGUCAGAAACAUCUAUACUCACUGGGUAUGCGAAGUCUGCAAAUGUGGAAGAUGCUCAAGUGGUGUUCUCGCAGAUGGUCGAGAAGAAUGUCAUUGCUUGGAAUGUGCUCAUUGCAGCAUAUGCCCAGAAUGGUGAGGAGGAAGAAGCAAUUAGGCUCUUUGUCCAGCUGAAAAGAGACUCCAUUUGGCCGACACAUUACACGUAUGGGAAUGUUCUGAACGCAUGUGGGAAUAUUGCUGACCUUCAACUUGGUCAGCAAGCUCAUGUGCAUGUCCUCAAGGAAGGUUUUCGCUUUGACUUUGGGCCAGAAUCUGAUGUGUUUGUUGGGAACUCCCUUGUAGACAUGUACCUGAAAACAGGUUCCAUCGAUGAUGGUGCUAAGGUAUUUGAGAGAAUGGCAGCCAGAGAUAAUGUGUCCUGGAAUGCGAUGAUUGUUGGUUAUGCACAGAAUGGCCGUGCAAAAGAUGCAUUGCAUCUUUUUGAGAGAAUGCUGUGCAGCAAUGAGAACCCGGACUCUGUCACUAUGAUAGGGGUCUUGUCAGCCUGUGGCCAUUCUGGAUUGGUGGAUGAGGGCCGGAGAUACUUCCAUUCUAUGACUGAAGAUCAUGGGAUUACGCCAUCCCGAGAUCAUUACACAUGCAUGGUUGACUUGCUUGGUCGUGCUGGUCAUCUCAAAGAAGCUGAGGAGCUCAUAAACGACAUGCCAAUGGAACCUGACUCUGUGCUCUGGGCUUCUCUGCUAGGUGCUUGCAGGCUGCAUAAGAAUGUUGAGUUGGGGGAAUGGACAGCUGGGAGAUUGUUUGAGCUUGAUCCUCAGAACUCUGGACCCUAUGUCCUUCUCUCGAAUAUGUACGCUGAGAUGGGCAAAUGGGCAGAAGUUUUUAGAGUGAGGAGAUCCAUGAAGGACAGGGGUGUCAGUAAGCAGCCAGGGUGUAGUUGGAUUGAGAUAGGAAGGAAAAUGAAUGUGUUUCUAGCACGAGACAAACGACAUCCAUGCAGGAAUGAGAUACACAAUACUUUAAGAAUAAUUCAGAUGGAGAUGGGCAGAACGAGUAUAGAUGAAAUUGAUGAUGGCUUGAUGAAUUACUGCUCUGAAGCCUGUGGAUAGAAGUAGAAAGUCAGAUGACUUCAGAAGUAGGCGUUGACAACUUGAGAUUGUAUUGCCAAGGUUAGUACAUCCACAGUACUUACAGGACAGGGCCAAAAGCAAGUUGGUUGACAGAAAGGAUCAUCUUUUUACCUAGUAAGAGAGAGAGAGAGAGAGAGAGAGGCGAGUUUUCAGAUCGAUUUUAAGCUCCCAACCAACCUAUCUGGUCACUGUUCUCAACCAGAUAAAAUGAUUUUUUCAAAGAAUGGGAUAAGCUACGGAGAUGUUUCCUUUGGGUGGGGGAUUAGGAACUCUCCUCGGGUAAAUACAAAGUGCCUUGGACAACAAUGUGUCAGCUAUUAGAAAUGGCCGGCCUUAGCAUACUUGACCUUGAAUGCUACACGCGAGCUCAACGCUUAUGGUGGCUGUGGUUUGAAUGGGUUGCACUAGAGCACCCUUGGAUUGGCAUGCCCCUGCCUGUAGAGCAUUACUAAUAUUGCUCUUUUCAAUGCAGCUAUUGUUGUCCAACUGAACAACAGACUCAUAGGACACAGCAUGUUUCUGGACUAGUUGGGUUCGAGAAGACACACUGUCGGCACUCUUCCCGUCCCUGUUUGCGCAUGCCAGAAGGAAGAAUACAAUGGCUGAGGCUCACAUAAUCGCGCACGCCAGAAGGAAGAAUACAAUGGCUGAGGCUCACAUAAUCGUAGAUGGAUUUCCAGAUUUGGACCAUGUCCUCACUUUUCCUUUAUUUGAGAAAUUUGUCAAGCUGUUCGUCCAGUAGCAAGAUUUCAAUGUGGAUCCUACAUCUGACCAGCCUGAUCACAGUGUGUGGACUGCAAAUGAGAAUGGUGAGUACUUCACACGCUCUUCAUAUUUUCUGAAAUUCAGGGAAACGGUAAUUUCGGCAAUAGCUACACACAUUUGGAAGCCAUCAGCGACGCGAAGUCGUAAAUUCUUUGUAUGGAUGUGAGGAUGUCCCUACAAGAACAUGAACUUGGAGAUGGCAACGCACCUAGCAUAGAGCGUCCAGUAAUAAUGAUGGCAUGGGCAGUGGCGGUGAUUUGACUGUGGCAUGAGGGGUGUAACCUUCCACCUAGUAGUCGGCUACCUCCCUGCAGGAUUGCUACAUUCAAACAUUCAGUUAACAAGCAAGGUCGGCCUUCUCUGGUGCUGGGUCUCAGGUCCCUGAUCAUCCUCACAAUCUGGGAAAUUUGGAAAGAAAGGAAAACAGAGUGUUCAGUAGACAGGGCCGCUCUGAGUCUGGAAUCCUCUCUGGAAUUCAGGAUGAAGCCCGCCACCCGCCCCUGGUGCCUGGUGGGAAUAAGAAGCUGGAGCUGUUACUGCUGGCAUUUUCAGAUGGUGAGCAUUAGCGUUAGCAGUCUGCAGUUACUCUUAGAUUAACUGUGUUAUGUAUUUUCCUGUAAAUCAUUUUUAAUCUCCUAGGGAUGGCAAGAACGCCAAGUACCUUGUACUUGCAAAACUUACAAAAAAAUUUGGUGUGCUUCUAGCGCAUAACUCUAAUUUACAAAGGUGAUAUGCCACUUGCACACAAAAGGCGCUGUACUAUCAAUACUUGAUAGCACUUACAAGCUACAGGCUAUCAUUUGCUGAAGGGGAAAAAAAAGAUGAACGAGGCUCACUAAUGUCUUUUGAAGGCAAAGUUCAUAGACAUAGAGUCAAAGAGAAGCUAGCAAACAAAGCUCCCAUUGACUUCCUCGAGAUCCCUGCAAAUGCAAUGCAAUACCCUGGCAUAUAUUAACUCGGGUU